GUUCCCUUUGCGCGUACCGCUGCCGUUGCCGCGUUUUUUUUUUGUUCGCUCCGCUUCAACCGCUCCUCUCUCUAGGCUUCCAAUUACUUCCGCAAGCGCACCCUCGUGUGAAUGGGCGUCAUUCGUACGGUCAUGAAGGCGGGCAGUGGCGCCACCCCAAAGGCCGGGCAGACAAUCACCGUGCACUGCACCGGGUACUUAGCGGAUGGGAAGAAGAAGUUCUGGUCCACCCGCGAUGACAACAACCCGUUCUCCUUCAACGUGGGCGUCGGCCAGGUGAUUCGCGGCUGGGAUGAGGGCAUGAUGCAGAUGCAGCUCGGGGAGACGGCAGAGUUGCUCAUGACGGCUGACUACGCCUACGGUGAUCGCGGCUUUCCUGCCUGGAACAUCCCGUCAAACGCCGCACUGCUGUUCGAGAUUGAGCUGCUGAAAAUACAGUAGACUAUCUCCGGCGGUGCGACUUCGCUCUUGCACCUCUUUUCUCGUUCUUUUUUGUCGUGUAGCGUUUCCAUCUCUGUUAUUCCUCUCGCCCUUCCGUCCCCCUCUUGAUGGCGCAUUACUCGUUGAGCGCCAACUGCGCGGCGUGGCAGUUGGCGUGCUCCGUGCGUGUGCCAUUCAGCGCGGAUGGUCAUAGGCAAGCUAUGGCGGCAGCGACACGCCACAGGUCUCUUUCUAUCCAACGAAGCAAGAGAGAUGUGAGAAAAAUUAGAAAACAGACGAAAUGGAAGUUCACCAGGUAGAAAGUGUGCUCCACGAAGAUCUCCCCGGAGAUGCGCGUGCCGCGAUACGGGGAGCUCAUCCGGCGUGACCACGUAGUCGUGCGAGCGAGUGGAGCUGUCAAGCUUCUGUAAGCGACUAUGCCGGCACUUGUGUAGCUGGGGCAAGGUUAGUGCGACCGCCCGCGCCGGUCUCCCCGGUUGUGCGGACGGACCUCCUCAAGCAGGUGAGUGCAUGCCACCGUCGCUAUCGACUCGGUUGUGUUUUUCUUUCGUAUGAUGUGUGCAUUGCCUGAUGACGGCGGGCCCAUGUCAGUGCGUGAC
rnacentral:misc_RNA from 1 species